CAUGGCGACCGCCGGUUUGGGGGAAUCGGUCUGUCACAGCUGCUCAGUGGAACCGAAGUCUAAAGGAGAACCUGUGUUCUGGGAUCAUACCAUGACAGUGAGGGCCUCGUAACACACACACACACACACACACAGACACACACACACACACACACGCACGCUCGUGGCACAAGCACGCACCGACAGACAGACAGACAGACACACACAGACACAUGCCCACACACAGACAGACAGAAAGACAGACAGACAGACAGACACAUGCACACCUACAUACACACACACACGCGCUCGCACACACACAAACACACACACACACACACACACACACACACAGGCAGACAGACAGACACUUGCACACACACACACACACACACACACACACACACACACACACACACACACACACACACACACACACACACCACACACAGACACACACACACCACACACACACACACACACACACAUAGACACAGACACACAAACACACACGCAGGCACACAGAUACACACACACAAACACUCACGCACACACAUAGACACACACACAUAGAGAGACAAAAACACGCACACAUACAUACACACACACACACACACACACAAACUAACCAUCUAACUAACUAGACAUCUUACUUACUAGCUCAUUCGGUAACUUGUUAACUUGCUACUAGCAAACUAGCGAGCUCACAUUCAGCAAGCGGCUCUGGGUCAGCUGAUCCGAAGACGUAGAAUGACCAGAGCGCUCCCACGUUACUCAUCGUUACAUCCUGGCUGCCCCAUGGUGGGGUGGGUACACAUCUUCUUAUUCUUUAACCAAACCCUGGCAGGGGGGGGGGGCGGGGGGCGGUAGGUAACUGACUCAGCCGUUUCUUUUGCUUAGUCUCGUUUCUGGGAUCUGACGGCGCAGCACGGUAAAGCGGUGGUCUAACAUCUGGAAUAAUCACCUCCAGCUGUGGAGGCUGUCUCCCUCUGCUCUCAGUCCUCAGACCCACUCACCAUUACGGAUUUUUCAGUUAUUGUUAAUGAAUACUAUUUUAUGAAAGGCGGCCUGAGGUCUUAUAAUGUUGGAUGUUUUGGUGGAGACCGAAUAUGAAACUAAUCAGGCACGAAUCAGGUAGAACUCACCUGUUCUCUGAGCAAAUAUCCAACGGAGUGGAGGCGGAUGCUCUGUGAUUUCAUAACACAUCAUGCCGGGUUAUCUUCCUCACACUGUGUUUUAAGAAAACAUUGAUGGACAGAAAUAUAACGCUAAGUUGGACCAGUUUGAGCUGGCUUCAGUAGCUGUCAUGGAGGGGUUUCCCUCAGUAACUGUCAGUGGUGACUCCCAUCUGAGGAACCGGUCCUGAGGUCGGAAUACCAGCUCAACUGCCGGUAAAAAAACAUGCUUUGCUCAAUGCAUUGGAAACUGGAAUGUGGUCAUAAAAUAUGAGGGUGCAAAUUUUUAUUUUUAUUUCGAAAUUGAGGUUGUUUUUGUCCUAAUUACCAAGUGCUAUAAGUUUUAUUGGAAACAGUUGCAUUCGUCAAACUAAAGAUACACUCUCAAGUCAAGAGGAGUCGAUUUGAACACAUGACUACGCCUUAAACAGUAAGAAACAUCCACUACUGACACCGAAUCUAACACUGAUUCAGACUCAUCCUCUGGAUACCUAUGAUUUGAAUUUGACACCGGGCACCACACUGGCAGAGUGUGUUUGUUCAAGGAAAAACCUGUUCCAGAGGUAAACACGGCCGCACAACUAACAAGCACACGACAAAGUCAACACAACAUCAUUCGGGUCUAAUGGUUUUCAAACCAAACCGGAUAUUAAGUCUUCUAACAGCAUUCCCUUCUCCCUUCGGGCCUGAGGAUUAUCAAGGGCCCCGUGUUACACAAUACACCAUCACCCUAAGACCACUAAUGGACAAGGAAAACCUCUUCCUGAACCUUGAGAAGAAACACAGAAGAGGGAUCCCUUCACAUGGGACAGUUAGCAGUUAGGACCACAAAAGAUGGCCAAAUGGGAAGACAAAAAAUGGCAGCACAAAUAAAAGGAAAACUGAAGUUCAGUAAUGAGUUCCAAGUUCAAUGAAUGAAGGUGAACAAGUCUGUUUAUCUGGCAAGCAAGCGCUGCGUCUCCAGAGCUGUCCCGCUGCAGUUCAGUGCUCAGCUGGUGUUGUCUGUUCAUGACUCAUCUGGAAUGCCAAGGAGUUUCCACCCCCACCAUACCCUCACACUCACACACACACACACACACACACACACACACACACAGACACAGACACAGACACACACACACACAAACAGCACGGUGACAGACAGAGCUGUGCGUGAGGCUUUGGGGCCGACUGGGGGUACUCAGAGACGGGAAAGUACUUUCCCUAGGUGGGACAGGGAAGUUGGGAAUUUCCGUCAUAGAAGUGUUAAUGGUUAAGGAACCCAAAAUAGGAUGCGUCCUCUCACUGUGAUCACAUGUACCGUCUUACUGCCUUAUCGGCAUAUUAUUAAAGCGGAAAUAAAACACUAGAUGUAGUAAUCAUAAUUUACACGAUAUUUCCCAACUCGAUAACUCCUAAAAGUUGAAACACUGUCAGGGAAAAAGUAUUCUAAACAAUGUUUUCCAAACUAGGGUAGCGCCAUCUUGUCCUAGCGUGGCGUGUGACACCUCAAGGCUGGUUGUCUUGGGGGUGAUGCAUGGGGGUUCAAUUUAGUCUUGCCGCUGGAUACAGCAAUGAUUCAUAUGCAGAGUCCAAAAACCAAGAUCGGUUUCCACUUUCAUGCUUUGUCUCUCAAGCGGCAAAUGGUUCUUCAACGUUGGCCAGCGGCACUGAAACAGCAGAACCCUCCAGCUAGCUGUGAGGUGUAGUGAAGUGAGCACUACGUAAACGGCGCCUCUGUGGGGGAGAGGGGUUGUGAGGAGAGGAGGGUUCGCGGGACCAGCAAGCUGAAGUCUGCGGCUGCUCACUGUGUUAUGGACUUUUCCUCGUACAAGGCUGGGUGUACCGACCUUCCAUCCGUGUCUGCUAGCAGUUCAAUAGGUGUGCGCCGGGAGGAAAUUGCACAACGGCACGCCCAUCUGACAGCCAGAGAGGUCGUUACCUACUGAUGAGUCACCUAUAAUUAGUGACUCAAUGAGAGAUUCAUACCGACGUUUUAAACAUUGAACCGUUAUUUAGCCUGCACUACACCGUCGUACAGGCUAAAUAGCUAUAGUUUCUGGGAUAGCUAACCCAGAAACUAGGCUAGCUAAGGUAGCUAAACGACCGUUAUUGGAUGGGCCGCUCCAGGGUCUCUGCUCAGACUUCUCGAAGGGAGAGCAAUGAGCAUGGACACUGCCAAUACAUCCCUUUCAUAGCAGGUCUGGUAAAUACGGGCCAGGCUAACUCCUGAAGCAAGUGGUCUACGCAAGCCUCCUGACAGCGGAUCGAAGCGCGAGCGGUUGGUCUUUAAGUGCAGAGACCACACGAGCAGCAGGUGGUGUGGUCAACCCCAUCCGCACCGAGGGGAACGGAUGGCUCUGCUUUGUCCUCUGUACAAACGCGAGUUUGAGGCUCAUCUUUCCCUCCUCACUGGCUCAACUGUGUAAGCCACUGGUUGUCUCCUCCAAAUAACUUUGGAGGAGUCUUCGGCCAUGUGCACUCUGAAUGUGAGAGGUUGUAGCGUGAAGGUCUUCUUCCUGGGCUGACUUUCCAACUUACCAACCUCACGACUCAGUCCGUGACGCAGCGGCGGUGUGGCGGCAAGCCGGCGAGAGUAUACAUUAUCGCCAACGGCAAAUCUCUUCGAAUUUAACGUGUAAACGUUUUACAUCAAAAACAUCCUCGGGAAACACUCCAACAGACUUAAUUCUGUACAAUACCCGUCAACACUAGGCCGUUUCAUGCCCGCUUUAAGUGUGCACUGUACUCAAUUACCGCUUAAAAUGAACUGAUAGUAAAUGUAGUUAUUAAUGUGACUACAUUUGUGUUGAGAUGCGGACUCUGAGGUGCAUGGCUCCAAACACGAGGACGCUGGGUGUUGGUGUUGGAAGACAGUUUAUUGUACGGUUUGCAGCUAAUGAUACAUGGCGCGAGGUAAUGUGAUUUCGAUUGGUGUUUCUUAACGCUACUGCAUUGUCUGAACACGUGGAUGAGGAAUCAGGGAAACAUCUUGGUCAAUUGCUCCCACUCCGCCCAAAAGCCAUCUGGCACCACAACACUCGAACCAGGUCUAAUGUCUCGCCACUACCACAAGUGAACCCUGACCUUUUCCGUCCCAGGCCACACAUCUGUAUGCAGCGCAGCCCGACAGUGACAACGGGUCGAUGCCCGCACAGCAUUGGAGGAUCUGAGGAAACAGAUAAGGGUUUACAACCUCGGGGAGGGCAGCUUAUUGAUCGGAGAUGCAGCUCAGAGUCAAUCAAUGCUCGUACUACAAACCCAGCCAAACCUCAAUGGAAGAGGGGACCGCUGCCCGGAUUCAGGUUAAUACGUCAUACUGUACGUCGUUAUUAUGUUUCAUCUUGUUUGACUCUGUUCCGUUUCUUCAUAAAAUGGGUUAGAUAACAAUCGAUUUCUUUAAUUUGAUGUACUAUUGUCCUCCUCUACAGCUUUUAGUUAUCCAACGCGGUUCAUCAAUAUACAUGCAGUAGAAAUGGGGACUUACCUUCCAAGUCAUUGCUUGAGGUUCCUUCUUUAUUUUCUCCUGACGAAGCAGCUGCGGACCACAUGUUGGCCCUGGACCCGCUACCAACCUCACAGACACUCUUUUCCACGUGUAUUCAACGUGGUCCAUUUUCUUGAUGACCUCAUUGUGAGGCCGACAUGAUUUUCUUAGAGUUGAGUUUUACAAAACAAACUAAAUCAUUUUCAAUUAUUCAAACAAAUCCAAGGAAUAGAGAGGCCCCUAAAAUCAACCAGAUACAAGGUGGAGAUUGCUUUGAAACAAAUCAGCACAAGCUUUGUUAAAUAAGAGUACAUAUAAGAAAAGAGAGAGGAAUACAGGAGGAGAGAGAGAGCGACAGAGAGAUACAGAGAGAGAGAAAGGAAGAGUGGCCUGAUAUAUUGCAUGUUCAGCAGAUCAGACCAAUACAUUGAUUACAAGUUCAAUGCUUUAAUGGUUUUACAGAGUGACUUUCUAUUAUUAGUCUGAGAGUAGACCAACCACUGGAUUGGAUUGACUGGUCGAUUAUGAACAGGCUCUAAAUUGACUGUAAGCAGAGAUGGCGUCUGUUUAUCUGUACGACUCUGAGCGUAGUUCUUGAUCCACCCCAAAAACGUAAGAUAGUUAAUCGUUGUAGAUUUAACAAAAGUAUUCAUACUCUCCUUCUUCUAGUUACAGACUCGUACAAGGACUCCGGGAGGAAGGGUGCUCUGAAUGAUGUGACUCGAGAGGGGGAGAGUCCUGAGAGCCUGACUGGCUGCCUCAGUUAUGGGAGUGGUUCUCAAAGGGGCUGCAUGGUAUAACUGUUCAAACUUGUCCGAUCCCCAAAGAAAUGAUUUGGGAUUCGGCAAACACUGCAAUCCAAUGUUGAGACGGCUGAGAACCAUCAAACCAUGGAAUCAAUAUUGGAGCAACUGGAAUAGUAUCCAACGCAAUCAGAGAAUAUGGGAAUAGGAUAACUGCAGGAAUGAGAUAGAUCAGUCCUCAGAGAGCAGCACAGCUCGAUGGCCGCCCGAUGCUAACAGCAUUACCCUGGGCUGCGAUUGGCCGACACCGCGGGGUAUUUUUAGUGCUUGCGUGCAGUUUUUUUUUGGAUGUAGAGAAUUGAUACUUAAUGACGUUUCCAGAUUUUUUUUUUGUUUGAGUCAGCACCAGAAUUUCCAACAGGUCCUAAUUUCCUCCCUUCCAACUGGAGAUGAGAGUCGGAGGCAAACGGAUCAAUACACCGUUUGACUCUGCUGUUAGGCCUAUGAGUUGUCACAAUGUAAACUACAGAUAGCUGCAUAUAUGCUUAUACUUUGCGAAUAAUACAUAACACCAAUUAAAUAACCGUGUAAGCUUCAUAAUAAAUCAUGAAACAUUAAAAAUGGCUUUAAUAAAUUGA